rnacentral:rRNA from 1 species
GACGAACGCUGGCGGCGUGCCUAAUACAUGCAAGUAGAACGCUGAAGGAAGGAGCUUGCUCUUUCUGGAUGAGUUGCGAACGGGUGAGUAACGCGUAGGUAACCUGCCUGGUAGCGGGGGAUAACUAUUGGAAACGAUAGCUAAUACCGCAUAAAAUUGAUUAUUUCAUGAUAGUCAAUUAAAAGGUGCAACUGCACCACUACCAGAUGGACCUGCGUUGUAUUAGCUAGUUGGUGGGGUAACGGCUCACCAAGGCGACGAUACAUAGCCGACCUGAGAGGGUGAUCGGCCACACUGGGACUGAGACACGGCCCAGACUCCUACGGGAGGCAGCAGUAGGGAAUCUUCGGCAAUGGACGGAAGUCUGACCGAGCAACGCCGCGGGAGUGAAGAAGGUUUUCGGAUCGUAAAGCUCUGUUGUAAGAGAAGAACGAGUGUGAGAGUGGAAAGUUCACACUGUGACGGUAUCUUACCAGAAAGGGACGGCUAACUACGUG